AUGCUUCACAUGGUGCGCGACCUGCCUUUUGCUUUCUUCAGCGACCCUGAGUUGAUGCUCAUCUUGGCUGCUGCUCCCAUUGCCGUUUGUUAUGGCAGUGAUCGGAACAGUAGUGUGGUAUUUGAAGAAAUAAGUUCAGAUAUGCUCCGUUCUUUGCUUAGAUCCUGCAGAGGUCAGCACUGGCUACUUUUGGAUUCCAUUGCCGCGGAUGGCUCUGGAGCCAAUAAUUCCAGUGACAGCACACAGGUCUCACCGGAUACCAGAAGCUCACUGUCCGACAUCUCAAUGCUGUAA
rnacentral:rRNA from 1 species